CUUUUCAAAAUAAACACACUAUGUAGGAGUUUGUUAGGGUGACGGAGAGGAGGUUGAGGAAAGGAAAAUAAGGGCUAGAGAAAUUAAGGAGAAGGUUAUUAAGGCUAUGGAAGAAGGUGGUUCUUCUUAUGAGAACAUAACCAGCCUCGUUGAGUACAUCAAGCAUGAAUCUUGGAUGGGUGUACAAGAAACUAAAGCUUAAUAAAUUUGUAUUUCUGAUUUUGCAUCCUAGAACUUUGUAUUUCUGUUAUUCAGUAAUAUGCUUUAUGCGAUGCUAGUGUUUUUUAACAUGGAAAAUGAUUCCCAUUGUUGUCUAGGAAAUGCAAAAACAUUCACGAGAAAUCUAUUUAAAAGAAAUAAAAAUUAAGACAAUACUUUCAACUGCCUUUUCUUGCAACUCUUCACCGCCAUUAUAAAACUUAUUCUCCUUUGCUCCUCCCCUUCUGUUAUAUAGAAAAUCCAAAGCCUAAGAGCUUAGCUAAUACCUCUCCUGUUCGAUCCUUUGGGGAGAGAGAGCACGAUCUUGGUCCAAUUCGCUUCUCUUUUGAAUCCUCAUCUUGGUUGUUGAAUUUUGAGGGAUUUUUAUUAUAUUUUUGUUGGUUUUUUGGGGCUGAUCUUGAGUUUGGUCAUUGAUGUGGCUUGGAUCUUGGUUUUGAGGUGCGGGGAGAUGGGUGUUGAUUGUUUUUGAGUGUUUUGGGAUUUGGGAAUGGUGUUUUGGAUGGAGGGUUGGGAGAUUGAGAUCGGGAUCGAGAUCUCAAUUUCUUGAUUGAAAAGCGUUAGGGUUUUGUUGCUAAAGCAUUGUGAGGCAAAUGCGGGAUGUUUCACGGGGUUUGCUCACUGGAUCUUGAAGCUCUAAAUGAGAAGUAUAGACUCAUUGAUACCACUGGAAUUUGGCGGAUAUCAGCGGUAUCUUCAUCGGGUAGUACAAUGGAGGCAUUAUCAGUAAAUUGAGAAUUCCGUGCCAUUCAUCAUGCCGAUGUGGUAGCUUUAGUUAUUGAGGCCUUGGCCUGUGUAACAGAAGUCAAAAAUGUUGUCAAGAAAGUGGACGUAUGAUCGAAAUCUACCUGGACAAAAAGGAUUGACUGAUGGAUUUAUUGCCGGGGUGGAUGAAUUCAUCCAAUUUGCAGUUAGUCAAGAUGACUCAUAUAAACAAGGAGAGGAUAUUAGGACUCUUUGUUUCAAGUGCAAAAAUACAUUAUUUCUUCACCUAGAUGAUGUAGUUUUGCAUUUAUAUCUCCGUGGGUUUAAAUUAUGUUAUUGGAAUUGGACUUGUCAUGGGGAAGAAUUGUUUCCAGUUAAUGAGGAGUUGAAUGAGGAUCGUGAAAUAAAACAAACAGAAUAGGACAGAAAUUGGAAGCUCCUCCAUCGGCCAGUGGUAAAUCUGUUAGUAUUGCUGUGCACCACCUUAGACUGGCGGAGGACGAGGUUGAGAGUCGACACCAAACGAAUGCUAUAUCUGCAUGCACAAAAAGAAGGAUGGGACACUCGAGGUUGAUAGCACCACACAAAUUGCUAUAAGUACGAGAUAACUUUCUAAAAAUAAAUGCAUUUGAAAUUAACGUGCUGCAUUGCUUUAUUUAAUUCAAAUUUUAAGUAAUUUUGAGUUUAACAUUGUUAAAUUUUAAUUUAACAUGCCAAGCUUAGUUUAAUUUGGUUCAAAUUAGAUCAUACAUUUCACACUUAUACUAUAAACAAACAUAAUAAAAUAUAUUUAUAUAUAUAUA